UCAUUAUUAAAGCAGCAACUUUCAUGCAACCUUCUUAAAGAGUUAUUCUUUCUCUGCAGGGCUUAAGUAUAUGUCCUAAGGCAUUCUUUUCGGUUUGCAUGUUAACUCAUUGAAUUACUAGAUUGAUGCAAAGAAAAUGGCUCCCAUCGAAACUCCUCAACAUCUCUGAAGAUCUCCAUGGACAUUCCUCCAGGGCCACCGACCUGAUUAUUAUUAGCAUAGAAUACCACUUCAACUUCAGUUGCUUCGCUGAAGAAAUCCUUUGCACGUUACCAAAGUUCGUACUCGAUCAAAUAUGGCUAAGCACAAUAGUCUGGUCUGCAGAAAGCUGCAACUGAAGGGGGUGGAAACUGUUCCUGCAGAUGAAUCUACUGAUAAAAAGUGUACCGUGUAGUAUCCAGCAGGGUCCAGUGGAAAGACUUCAGAAGCCAAGAGCAGAUCAUUAGCUAAUAUGUGGAUCUGUGAGUGGACAAUUAAAAUGCUGCUACAGUUGUUGUUAUAACCCUGUUGAAGCUUGUUGCAUUUAGUCAUUUGGAAUAGAUAGCAAAACUGAAAAGCAAGGGUUAAGUUUGAAGGCAAUGUACCAUGAGUUGCUAUUUGAAUAUAUGGCUCCCAUGCAUAACUCACUUUUUUUUUUUUUACCUCUUCCUCUGAAUGCAGUAAUGAAACCACCAAUAUUGAAAAAAUCAGUAUUGGGCAUGCAUGAGAACAACAAAAUCAAAGAGCCACUGGCAGUAACCAUAGACAAUACUGAGGUAGAUGGAGUGAUUGUCUGGCUCAGUUUGAGGCAGUUUAUAUUCCCUUUUCAAUUUACCUAAGCGGGAAACUAUUA